rnacentral:rRNA from 1 species
AUCUACAACCAUGCCACCCUGAACGUGCUCCAUCUUGUCUGAUCUUGGAAGCUAAGCAAGGUCGGACCUGGUUAGUACUUGGAUGGGAGACUACCUAGGAAUACCAGGUGCUGUAGGCA